ACUAAAUUUUUGUUUUGCUGUGGAAUCCUAUGAGGGAUGUCUUCAAUCAUAGAGGUUAUGUCACUAAAAUCCUGUUUUCCUACCCUGGCACUGGUUCCUGAGGUUUCUGCUCCUGAUCAUUCAGUAAGGUAUCUACGGACAAGAAGGGAAUCAAUUAUCAGGAAUGAUGGAGCCUGUUCUGCAGCAGGAGGUAACACUGCGUUUAUAAUGGAGGGAAGACUACAUGAGGAACACAGUAUGGUUUGAAAUAUUCAUAAAGUGUUGGGGACGAGACCAGGACUUUGCCUCCU